UACGUAGGUGGCAAGCGUUGUCCGGAAUUAUUGGGCGUAAAGCGCGCGCAGGCGGUUCUUUAAGUCUGAUGUGAAAGCCCACGGCUCAACCGUGGAGGGUCAUUGGAAACUGGGGAACUUGAGUACAGAAGAGGAAAGCGGAAUUCCACGUGUAGAGGUGAAAUUCGUAGAUAUUAGGAGGAACACCGGUGGCGAAGGCGGCUAUCUGGACGAUUACUGACGCUCUGGCACGAAAGUGUGGGGAUCAAACAGG
rnacentral:rRNA from 1 species